GCAUAUCAAUAAGCGGAGGAAAAGAAACUAACAAGGAUUCCCCUAGUAACUGCGAGUGAAGCGGGAAAAGCUCAAAUUUAAAAUCUGGCAGUCUUUGGCUGUCCGAGUUGUAGUCUGGAGAAGUGUUUUCCGCGCCGGACCGUGUAUAAGUCCCCUGGAAUGGGGCGUCGUAGAGGGUGACAAUCCCGUCUUUGACACGGACUCCCGGUGCUUUGUGAUGCGCUCUCAAAGAGUCGAGUUGUUUGGGAAUGCAGCUCAAAAUGGGUGGUAAAUUCCAUCUAAAGCUAAAUAUUGGCGAGAGACCGAUAGCGAACAAGUACCGUGAGGGAAAGAUGAAAAGCACUUUGGAAAGAGAGUUAAACAGUACGUGAAAUUGCUGAAAGGGAAACGCUUGAAGUCAGUCGCGUUGUGCAGAACUCAGCCUGGCCUUGGCCUGGUGUAUUUUCUGCACGACGGGCCAGCAUCGAUUUCGGUCGCUGGAAAAGGGCCUCGGGAAUGUGGCACCCUCGGGUGUGUUAUAGCCCGGGGUCGUAUACAGUGGCUGGGAUCGAGGAAUGCAGCACGCCUUUAUGGCUGGGGUUCGCCCACAUUCGUGCUUAGGAUGCUGGCGUAAUGGCUUUAAUCGACCCGUCUUGAAACACGGACCAAGGAGUCUAACAUACCUGCGAGUGUUUGGGUGGUAAACCCGAGCGCGCAAUGAAAGUGAAAGUCGGGAUCCUCGCCAGGGGAGCACCGACGCCCGGCCCAGACCUUUUGCGACGGUGCUGCGGUGGAGCAUGUAUGUUGGGACCCGAAAGAUGGUGAACUAUGCCUGAAUAGGGUGAAGCCAGAGGAAACUCUGGUGGAGGCUCGUAGCGAUUCUGACGUGCAAAUCGAUCGUCAAAUUUGGGUAUAGGGGCGAAAGACUAAUCGAACCAUCUAGUAGCUGGUUCCUGCCGAG
rnacentral:rRNA from 1 species